ensembl:ncRNA F54G8.7 ncRNA
AAAAAGGAAAUGUAAAAAAGGAAUAAAAAGAAAAGAAAAAGAGGAAAAGCAUGAGAAGAGAGAGAGGACUGAGCAGCUAAUCUAAAUCCUGAUAUUAUGUAUAUUAACACAUUUAUAAAUACACUUUUAAUACGUUUGACAAGAUUGGC